UACGUAGGGUGCAAGCGUUGUCCGGAAUUAUUGGGCGUAAAGAGCUCGUAGGCGGUCUGUCGCGUCGGCUGUGAAAACCCGGGGCUCAACCCCGGGCCUGCAGUCGAUACGGGCAGACUAGAGUGCGGUAGGGGAGACUGGAAUUCCUGGUGUAGCAGUGAAAUGCGUAGAUAUCAGGAGGAACACCGAUAGCGAAGGCAGGUCUCUGGGCUGACACUGACGCUCAUGCACGAAAGCGUGGGGAGCAAACAGG
rnacentral:rRNA from 1 species